rnacentral:lncRNA from 1 species
CGGACUGGACCCAGGCAGUUUGGCAUCAGAACCCAUGAAUUCACCACUGCACGCUGCUGGAUUUUGCCUGAUAGCUAAAUUCCCUCUGAUUUCCUCCUCCUUCUUCCUGAGCCAGCUCUGAUAUGGUUUGGCUGUGUCCCCACUGAAAUCUCAUCUUGAAUUCCCACGUGUUGUGGGAGGCACCUGGUGGGAGGUAACUGAAUCAUGAGGGCAGGUCUUUCCCGUGCUGUUCUCAUGACAGUGAGUAAGUCUCAUGAGAUCUGAUGGUUUUAAAAAGCAAAGUUUCCCUGCACAAGCUGUCUUCUCUCGUCUGCCACCAUGUGAGAUGGGUCUUUCACCUUCUGCCAUGAUUGUGAGGCCUCCCCAGCCACAUGGAACCGCUGGAAUGAGGCUGUGAGGCUCCAGCAGCCGUUUUGUGCCACGAGGCAGUAGAAACCUGGGUUCCUGAUGACUGUGGAGCUGCCGAACUAAUCUGGACCUCCAGAUUCCAUACCUGCAAGACACAUGAACAUCUGUCUUAUGCCGUGGAAACAGAAAUCUAGUGGAGGAUUCUGAUCCCUAGGGAAUGUAGGGCCACUGGACCCAAUUGCCCUAUAAUCUUGUGUGGUAUUUCCCUGCCCCUGCUCAACUUCAUUGGAUGGUGGAACUGGAAGUGCUGGAGAUGAGCUGCUGUGGCUGUAUGGACAAAGGCAAGAUCCUAUGGGAUGGCCAAGCAACCAGACAGAAGAACUCUUGAGACCUUGAGGAAAAGAACUGCCCGCAACUGCUCUUGACACUCUCUCCCUCUGGCCUGUUGUGUGGGAGAGAAAUAA